ACAUGCCUAUAGCAUGGUGUUAAUGCACUGGAUCCCAUUAGAACUCCGCAGUUAAGCACACUCAGGCUAAAGUAGUACUGGAAUGGGUGAACACCAGGGAAGUCCUAGUGUUUUGCAUGCC
rnacentral:rRNA from 1 species